ACAGCUUUUUGUGGCCGUUAAUUUGCUGCAUAAAUUGUGACCACUUCCAAGCUCUUGCUAUUUCCAGCUGUUUCCUCUCCUUUGCUCUUGCUCCUUUUGCUGUGUGCUGGCUGCACAUCUGACAAGGUUUAUCUGGGACUCCAGCACACGGCUCUGUUCCACAGCUGCCUGGCGCCUUCACUGGCCCCUGCUAGGGAGCAGCAGCUGUCUCCUCUAGAAGAAGGCUGCUCCGUCAUGCUGUUGCCUUGCUGGCCAUGGCACAAACACUGGUCUAAGCAUCUUGCAUCACGACCUGGUGCCUUGGGCUUUGCUCUGUCCCUAAGCCCAGAGGUGGGCCCUGCUCGGUGCCCAGCCCGGUGCUGCCUCUGCUCCACCUGCACCAACACCACACCGGGAGGCACUGAGCUGCAGCCUUGGGGAUGUGAAACCAGGCCACGGUAACCCUGCCAAAUGUGUCCACGGGCUGGGCUGUGCUCCUUCUCUUCCCACAGAGGAUGGUCCCACACAUUCACAGUUGGGAAAGGAAUUUCUCACCCUCCUUCCCCUGCCUGCUGUGGCCAGCUGCCCCUUGGAAAUGCCAGAGACGAGCCCAGCUGGUGAGGCCCAUCCCCUGCUUUGUUCCAGGUCCCUGAAAGCAUGUCAGCUAUUCUUCUCACCCCGCAUGGGGGCUUGGCCAUAGGGACCACAGCCCUGCCUCGCCAGGCCCCACACAGACCCACAGCCUGCAUCCCCCUGCCGCAGUGGGCUCGCAGGCUUGUCCUGCAGGGGCUUGCCCUGGCAGAGCCACCACAGGUUUCUGAAGUGCCAGGAGAAAGUCCUCCCCCUGCCAUCACAACCUUUGCACCUUGGGUGGAGGACCACAGAAAAAGGAUUUAGACGGGCCCACCAGAAAUCAUGUACA